rnacentral:rRNA from 1 species
AGAGGUCCCGCCUGCCCACUGACUAUAUGUUUAAUGGCCGCGGUUAUUCUGACCGUGCAAAGGUAGCGUAAUCACUUGUCUUUUAAAUGGAGACUGGUAUGAAUGGCAUCACGAGGGCCUGACUGUCUCCUCUCUCUAAGUCAAUGAAAUUGAUCUCCCCGUGCAGAAGCGGGGAUACAACCAUAAGACGAGAAGACCCUAUGGAGCUUUAGGUUAUGAGUCAGACCACGUCCAUGCACCCAGAAAAACAGAUUAAACUUAAUGACUAUCUGCCUCCUAUGCCUUCGGUUGGGGCGACCAUGGAGUAACAACACCCUCCACGUGGAAUAGGAGCAUCCGUUUUACCUUGCAGAUUACACUUUCCCCUCCCUCCUAAAAUCAAGGGCCGCAGCCCUAAACAACAAAACUUUUGACCUCCCUUGAUCCGGCAAAGCCGAUUAACGAACCAAGUUACCCUAGGGAUAACAGCGCAAUCCCCUUCUAGAGUUCCUAUCGACAAGGGGGUUUACGACCUCGAUGUUGGAUCAGGACAUCCUAAUGGUGCAGCCGCUAUUAAGGGUUCGUUUGUUCAACGAUUAAAGUCCU